rnacentral:tRNA from 1 species
GGCCUCGUAACUCAGCUGGUAGAGCGCUUGCCACGUUGAGGCAUGCCGUGUCUGUCGCUGGUUCUAAUCCAGCCGAAGCCC